rnacentral:tRNA from 1 species
CGUCGGCUCGCCCAAUGGCAGGGCGCCGGUCUGAAAAGCCGGAGAUCGUGGUUCGAUUCCACGGCCGACGGCCA